UACGAAGGGGGCUAGCGUUGUUCGGAAUUACUGGGCGUAAAGCGCGCGCAGGCGGUUCUUCAAGUCAGAGGUGAAAGCCCAGAGCUCAACUCUGGAAUGGCCUUUGAGACUAGAGGACUUGGGUACGGGAGAGGUGAGUGGAAUUCCGAGUGUAGAGGUGAAAUUCGUAGAUAUUCGCAAGAACACCAGUGGCGAAGGCGGCUCACUGGCCCGGUACUGACGCUGAGGCACGAAAGCGUGGGGAGCAAACAGG
rnacentral:rRNA from 1 species